rnacentral:rRNA from 1 species
AUUGAACGCUGGCGGCAUGCCUUACACAUGCAAGUCGAACGGUAACGCGGGGCAACCUGGCGACGAGUGGCGAACGGGUGAGUAAUGCAUCGGAACGUGCCCAGUAGUGGGGGAUAGCCCGGCGAAAGCCGGAUUAAUACCGCAUACGACCUACGGGUGAAAGCGGGGGACCGUAAGGCCUCGCGCUAUUGGAGCGGCCGAUGUCAGAUUAGGUUGUUGGUGGGGUAAAAGCCUACCAAGCCGACGAUCUGUAGCUGGGCUGAGAGGACGACCGGCCACACUGGGACUGAGACACGGCCCAGACUCCUACGGGAGGCAGCAGUGGGGAAUUUUGGACAAUGGGGGCAACCCUGAUCCAGCCAUGCCGCGUGCGGGAAGAAGGCCUUCGGGUUGUAAACCGCUUUUGUCAGGGAAGAAACGCUCUGGGCUAAUACCCCGGGGUAAUGACGGUACCUGAAGAAUAAGCACCGGCUAACUACGUGCCAGCCGCCGCUGUAAAAC